rnacentral:misc_RNA from 1 species
AAGUCGUAACAAGGUUUCCGUAGGUGAACCUGCGGAAGGAUCAUUAUUGAAUAUUCUUGAUGGGUUGUAGCUGGCUCUUCGGGGCAUGUGCACGCCUGUCUUGACUUUAUUCAUCCACCUGUGCACCUUUUGUAGUCUUGGGGGUUGAGAGCAGUCAAUAAUCGGAUGACCAUUUGGUCACUCCGGGUGUGAGGAAUGCUGAGUGCGAAAGCAUACAGCUCUUCUCAAAGUGACUUGUAAUCCUCUCCUUCAAGUACUAUGUAUUCAUAUACCCAUAGUAUGUUGUAGAAUGUGAUCAAUGGGCUUAAGUGCCUAUAACAAUCAUAUACAACUUUCAGCAACGGAUCUCUUGGCUCUC